rnacentral:snRNA from 1 species
AGCUUUGCGCAGUGGCAGUAUCGUAGCCAAUUAGGUUUAUCUGAGGUGCGAUUAUUGCUAAUUGAGACAGUCUCACUAGGUUGCCCUCUGUAGAGUGCUGUAGUGUCACAGCUCACACCAACCUCAAACUCUUGGGCUUAGGCGAUCUCUUGCCUCAGCUUCCCGAGUAGCUG